AAGCCUAACUAGAAAAAAAGUCGUUAAUUUCUUGACCAUGUUUGAACAUUUGGCAAGUGCUCUCCGCCAUUUGUUCCGAGUACUCUCGGAACGUCUCGGGUUAAAACAUUGGACCUUUUUACGCCAGCGUGUUGCCUUUUAGGAAUCAAAGCCAUUUUAUGGAUUUAUCAGUACCUUCUCCGGAGCAAAAGUCGUCCCCAUUCCCAAUUGGAAAUAAGUUCACUUCAGCAGCUGUCCAAAUUAUGAUCCCAAUUAGUAUAGCAGUAUUUUUCCCCAACUGGUAAGAUAGUCAGGCCUCCAUGUUUACAACCGGGAUGCUCACCCCACAUUUACAAUUGUGACCCACAUUUACAAAUGUGACAUCAUAGUAUCACUCUCGUUUGGCUUUUCGGAUAUUAUCAGUAUUGAUGCUGUCAGGAGUGAACAACCAUACAUGUAUCUGCCAGUUUGUAAAUGAUGGCAAGGACGAUGCAAACUCCACCAUAAACUCAGAGUGUUUAAUGGAAGGGAAUACCUAUGAUUGUUUGCUAAGAGAGACAUUGUGGUUGGGGAAGAGAUACUUCAUGUAUAUGACUAUGGUUGUGAUGGGAAAAACUUGCG